UUCAAAAUGCCGUAGUGUAGUGGUUAUCACGUGCGCCUCACACGCGCAAGGUCCCCGGUUCGAUCCCGGGCGGUGACA